rnacentral:rRNA from 1 species
UUAAGUGAAUAAGGGCGCACGGUGGAUGCCUUGGCACUAGGAGCCGAUGAAGGACGGGACUAACACCGAUAUGCUUUGGGGAGCUGUAAGUAAGCUAUGAUCCAGAGAUUUCCGAAUGGGGGAACCCAAUAUUUUUUAUAGGAUAUUACUUUUCAGUGAAUACAUAGCUGAUUAGAGGUAGACGCAGAGAACUGAAACAUCUUAGUACCUGCAGGAAGAGAAAGAAAAUUCGAUUCCCUGAGUAGCGGCGAGCGAAACGGGAAGAGCCCAAACCAACAAGCUUGCUUGUUGGGGUUGUAGGACUCCGAUAUGGUAGUCUGUUAGUAUAGUUGAAGGAUUUGGAAAAUUCCGCUAAAGAGGGUGAAAGCCCCGUAGACGAAAUGCUGACAACACCUAGGAGGAUCCUGAGUACGGCGGAACACGAGAAAUUCCGUCGGAAUCCGCGGGGACCAUCCCGCAAGGCUAAAUACUCCCUAGUGACCGAUAGUGAACCAGUACCGUGAGGGAAAGGUGAAAAGCACCCCGGAAGGGGAGUGAAAUAGAUCCUGAAACCGUGUGCCUACAACAAGUCAAAGCUCGUUAAUGAGUGAUGGCGUGCCUUUUGUAGAAUGAACCGGCGAGUUACGAUUGCAUGCGAGGUUAAGUCGAAGAGACGGAGCCGCAGCGAAAGCGAGUCUGAAUAGGGCGAAUGAGUAUGUAGUCGUAGACCCGAAACCAUGUGAUCUACCCAUGUCCAGGUUGAAGGUGCGGUAAAACGCACUGGAGGACCGAACCCACGUACGUUGAAAAGUGCGGGGAUGAGGUGUGGGUAGCGGAGAAAUUCCAAACGAACUUGGAGAUAGCUGGUUCUCUCCGAAAUAGCUUUAGGGCUAGCCUCGGAAUUGAGAAUGAUGGAGGUAGAGCACUGUUUGGACUAGGGGCCCAUCUCGGGUUACCGAAUUCAGAUAAACUCCGAAUGCCAUUCAUUUAUAUCCGGGAGUCAGACUGCGAGUGAUAAGAUCCGUAGUCGAAAGGGAAACAGCCCAGACCACCAGCUAAGGUCCCAAAAUAUAUGUUAAGUGGAAAAGGAUGUGGGGUUGCACAGACAACUAGGAUGUUGGCUUAGAAGCAGCCACCAUUUAAAGAGUGCGUAAUAGCUCACUAGUCGAGUGACCCUGCGCCGAAAAUGUACCGGGGCUAAACAUAUUACCGAAGCUGUGGACUACACCAUUAGGUGUAGUGGUAGGAGAGCGUUCUAAGGGCGUUGAAGGUCGAUCGUGAGGACGGCUGGAGCGCUUAGAAGUGAGAAUGCCGGUAUGAGUAGCGAAAGACAGGUGAGAAUCCUGUCCACCGUAUGACUAAGGUUUCCUGGGGAAGGCUCGUCCGCCCAGGGUUAGUCGGGACCUAAGCCGAGGCCGAUAGGCGUAGGCGAUGGACAACAGGUUGAUAUUCCUGUACCAGUUGUUUUUGUUUGAGCAAUGGAGGGACGCAGUAGGCUAAGGAAUGCAUGCGAUUGGAAGUGCAUGUCCAAGCAAUGAGUCUUGAGUAGAGUUAAAUGCUUUACUCUCUAAGGACAAGUUGUGACGGGGAGCGAAAUAAUAGUAGCGAAGUUCCUGAUGUCACACUGCCAAGAAAAGCUUCUAGUGAGAAAACAACUGCCCGUACCGUAAACCGACACAGGUAGUCGAGGAGAGUAUCCUAAGGUGAGCGAGCGAACUCUCGUUAAGGAACUCGGCAAAAUGACCCCGUAACUUCGGGAGAAGGGGUGCUGACUUCGGUCAGCCGCAGUGAAUAGGCCCAAGCGACUGUUUAUCAAAAACACAGGUCUCUGCAAAAUCGUAAGAUGAAGUAUAGGGGCUGACGCCUGCCCGGUGCUGGAAGGUUAAGAGGAUGGGUUAGCUUCGGCGAAGCUCAGAAUUGAAGCCCCAGUAAACGGCGGCCGUAACUAUAACGGUCCUAAGGUAGCGAAAUUCCUUGUCGGGUAAGUUCCGACCCGCACGAAAGGCGUAACGAUUUGGGCACUGUCUCAACGAGAGACUCGGUGAAAUUUUAGUACCUGUGAAGAUGCAGGUUACCCGCGACAGGACGGAAAGACCCCAUGGAGCUUUACUGUAGUUUGAUAUUGAGUGUUUGUACCACAUGUACAGGAUAGGUAGGAGCCGAUGAGACCGGAACGCUAGUUUCGGAGGAGGCGCUGGUGGGAUACUACCCUUGUGUUAUGAACCCUCUAACCCGCACCACUAAUCGUGGUGGGAGACAGUGUCAGAUGGGCAGUUUGACUGGGGCGGUCGCCUCCUAAAAGGUAACGGAGGCGCCCAAAGGUUCCCUCAGAAUGGUUGGAAAUCAUUCGAAGAGUGUAAAGGCAGAAGGGAGCUUGACUGCGAGACCUACAAGUCGAGCAGGGACGAAAGUCGGGCUUAGUGAUCCGGUGGUUCCGCAUGGAAGGGCCAUCGCUCAACGGAUAAAAGCUACCCUGGGGAUAACAGGCUUAUCUCCCCCAAGAGUCCACAUCGACGGGGAGGUUUGGCACCUCGAUGUCGGCUCGUCGCAUCCUGGGGCUGUAGUCGGUCCCAAGGGUUGGGCUGUUCGCCCAUUAAAGCGGCACGCGAGCUGGGUUCAGAACGUCGUGAGACAGUUCGGUCCCUAUCCGUCGCGGGCGUUGGAAAUUUGAGAGGAGCUGUCCUUAGUACGAGAGGACCGGGAUGGACUUACCGCUGGUGUACCAGUUGUUCUGCCAAGGGCAUUGCUGGGUAGCUAUGUAGGGAAGGGAUAAACGCUGAAAGCAUCUAAGUGUGAAGCCCACCUCAAGAUGAGAUUUCCCAUUUCUUUAAGAAAGUAAGACCCCUGAGAGAUGAUCAGGUAGAUAGGUUGGAAGUGGAAGGCUAGUGAUAGUUGGAGCGGACCAAUACUAAUCGGUCGAGGACUUAACCAA